rnacentral:rRNA from 1 species
UACGUAGGGUGCGAGCGUUGUCCGGAAUUAUUGGGCGUAAAGGGCGCGUAGGCGGUGCGGUAAGUCAGGCGUGAAAUUCCUGGGCUCAACCUGGGGGCUGCGUUUGAUACGUAUUGUCUGGAGUUCGGAAGAGGGUCGUGGAAUUCCCAGUGUAGAGGUGAAAUUCGUAGAUAUUGGGAAGAACACCGGUGGCGAAGGCGGCGACCUGGUCCGAUACUGACGCUGAGGCGCGAAAGCGUGGGGAGCAAACAGG